rnacentral:rRNA from 1 species
UACAGAGGGGGCAAGCGUUGUUCGGAAUUACUGGGCGUAAAGGGCGCGUAGGCGGGCCUGUAUGUCGAUUGUGAAAUCCCAGGGCUUAACCUUGGAAUUGCAGUCGAAACUGCAGGUCUUGAAUGCCUGAGGGGAUGGCGGAAUUCCCGGUGUAGAAGUGAAAUUCGUAGAUAUCGGGAAGAACACCUGAGGCGAAGGCGGCUGUCUGGCGGUGCAUUGACGCUGAGGCGCGAAAGCGUGGGGAGCAAACAGG